rnacentral:misc_RNA from 1 species
UUUCCGUAGGUGAACCUGCGGAAGGAUCAUUACCGUGGAUAAAGCAGCUCGAAGUGACCCUUCGGGAUGACGCCACCACCCUUUGUCACCCUUGAUUAAAUUAUUUCGGCCGUUUGGUCGCGGCGAGAGUCGCGAUCGCGGUCGGCCUCCAAAUUCUUUAGUAUGUAUGUCUGUCUGAAGAUCAUGAAAAUGAAUUAAAACUUUCAACAACGGAUCUCUUGGUUCUGGCAUCGAUGAAGAACGCAGC